rnacentral:misc_RNA from 1 species
AAAAAAAACUAUAUUAAAAUGAGAUACACGAAAAAAUACUUCGCUACUCCUCCAUUUUCUCGUCGACCAAACACUCCUGAGAUGGCCUAAACAAAGACCCAACUCACACCCACACAAAUUCUUAAAGUAGCUACAUACUAAUUAAAUUCUGUGAAGAAGAGCAGAGAAGGAAGGGGCAGGGGAAGGGGUGGGAGGGGACCAUGGGUGCGUCGCUAUCGAACCUGACGGAGGGAGCCAACGGCGCGGCCAUGGGUCCGGGACUCGGAGAUAUACCGGAAAGCUGUGUGGCGUGCGUGUUUACUUACUUGACGCCACCGGAGAUUUGUAAUCUUGCUCGAUUGAACACCGCGUUUAGAGGUGCCGCAUCCUCUGAUUCAGUUUGGGAGAAGAAGUUGCCGCCUAAUUAUCAAGAUCUGCUCGAUUUGCUUCCUCCCGAACGGUACCAGAACUUAUCCAAGAAGGACAUCUUUGCUCUUCUCUCGCGGCCCAUUCCCUUUGACGAUGGCAAUAAGGAGGUAUGGUUGGAUAGAGUAACGGGAAGGGUAUGUAUGUCGAUAUCGGCCAAAGGGAUGGCGAUAACGGGGAUUGAGGACCGAAGAUAUUGGAAUUGGGUUCCCACUGAAGAAUCUAGAUUCAAUGUUGUGGCCUAUUUGCAGCAAAUAUGGUGGUUUGAAGUAGAUGGAGUUGUAAAGUUUCCUUUUCCAGCUGAUAUCUAUACUCUAUCCUUCAGGCUUCACCUUGGAAGAUUUGCCAAAAGGUUGGGACGACGUGUGUGCAGUUUUGAGCACACUCAUGGUUGGGGUAUAAAGCCAGUACGUUUUGAGUUGUCUACUUC